rnacentral:rRNA from 1 species
UACGUAGGGGGCAAGCGUUGUCCGGAAUUAUUGGGCGUAAAGCGCGUGUAGGCGGUCCGGUAAGUCCGCUGUGAAAGUCGGGGCUCAACCCUCGGAUGCCGGUGGAUACUGUCGGGCUAGAGUGCAGAAGGGGCAACUGGAAUUCUCGGUGUAGCGGUGAAAUGCGUAGAUAUCGAGAGGAACACCUGCGGCGAAGGCGGGUUGCUGGGCUGACACUGACGCUGACAGCGCGAAAGCUAGGGAGCGAACGGG